rnacentral:rRNA from 1 species
AUUGAACGCUAGCGGGAUGCCUACACAUGCAAGUCGAGCGAGUGGCGAACGGGUGAGUAAUGUCUAGGAACGUGCCUAGUAGCGGGGGAUAACUCCGGGAAAGCGUGCUAUACCGCAUACUAUUAGAGCGGCCUAUGUCGGAUUAGCUCGUUGGUGGGGUAACUGCCAACCAAGGCGACGAUCCGUAGCUGGUUUGAGAGGACGACCAGCCACACUGGAACUGAGACACGGCCCAGACUCCUACGGGAGGCAGCAGUGGGGAAUAUUGGACAAUGGGUGAAACCCUGAUCCAGCCAUGCCGCGUGUGCGAUGAAGGCUUCGGGUUGUAAAGCACUUUAGGAAGGAAAGCGGUACCAGCAGAAUAAGCACCGGCUAACUACGUGCCAGCAGCCGCGGUAAUAC